CGCGCCUUUUUUCGUCUUUUUCACUUGCGUUUACUUUGGUGAAGGAGUUAGAAGUUGAAGCAAAACUACCAGCAAUUAACAUUGUUAUAUUUAUUAAAUCAGUGCCUUAAAAGUGAGAAAGAAACGAUUCCCAGACAAGGCUGAUGGUAAAAAUGGAUGGCUAAGUCGAUCCAUUUUAAGCAUAUUAUCCGAGGAACUUGUUCUGUCCCACAACUUGGAGGGGGCCAAAACAAGAAGAAGCUCAAAGUCUACCCAAAUUUCGUCCGCGCCUUGUUAAAUUCAAUCGCUCUGGUGGAGCCCUCGGAGCCUCCCGAAAAGGCACUGCAAAAAGCAAUGAGGUGCGUGAAAAACCUAUGUUGGGCAAAAAAAAAGUCAACGCCGGCCCCAGAUGCUGAAGAACCGACGACUCCGAUAACACCGGGA